rnacentral:tRNA from 1 species
UUUUCUAUAGUUUAAAAAAAACAUUACAUUUUCAAUGUAAAAUUAAACUCAAUUUUAGAAAAU